GCUUUGGAGAGGGCAGGGAAUGGAGAGAGUUGGGCUGUGGCAGAUGCUGUAUCCAGAGUGCUUAAAAACUCAGAGGAGCUGCUUUCCUGGAGGAGACAUCUCUUGUCAGACUGCACGAAGGGGUUACUUGCCAUGUACAGCAGCAGUAGAGAUGAAAGGAAGCAAGAAGUGGAGAGGUCCAUGCUGCUGAGGCUAGAGGAGUUAUUGUGUGUGGUUGAAGAAGUGGACCCAGAUGACUGGUGCAGCCUUGUGAAGACAGGACUCA